ACAGCAGCCGCCGCGGUAAUACGUAGGGUGCAAGCGUUAAUCGGAAUUACUGGGCGUAAAGCGUGCGUAGGUGGUGGUUUAAGUCCGUUGUGAAAGCCCUGGGCUCAACCUGGGAAUUGCAGUGGAUACUGGGUCACUAGAGUGUGGUAGAGGAUAGUGGAAUUUCCGGUGUAGCAGUGAAAUGCGUAGAGAUCGGAAGGAACAUCUGUGGCGAAGGCGACUAUCUGGGCCAACACUGACACUGAGGCACGAAAGCGUGUGGAGCAAACAGGAUUAGAUACCCGCGUAGUCCCUGUCUCUUAUAC
rnacentral:rRNA from 1 species